UAAUUUAAAUAUUUUCGAAAGACAAAUUCAGAUUUAAAAGUAAAUUUGAAAAUAGGUCUGAUCGCGUUGUACAUAUAAAAUGUAACAACUGUGCAUAUGUCAAUUUACUGGCUUCUUCACACAUCCAUCCAGUGUGUAAAUUUGGCGAUUCCUACUCUUUCUUUCGUUGCAAUCUUUGUUAGAUCUGUAGGAUCUGAAAAGAUGACUUGCUGCUCAUUUUCCAAGUGGAAAGGCAAUCUUUCGACGUAGGGAUCUCUGAAGUGCAAUUCAAAUUGAACUAUUUUCCAACAAUUAGCACUGUGGCUUGGUCAUCACCUUUAUUUAUGUAUUAAAAAAGGUAUUUUAUUGAUAGGGAUCUGUUGCACACCUCUACAUUUAUAUGUGCUUGAUAUUUGACCAGUAGAUAUCUGUUGAAUGGGACUACAGCAGAAUUGAUGUGCAAGGCAUAUGCAACAUAAUGUUGCUUCCUGUGCAUCAUUAGUGGUAAAGUUUAGAACCAAAGGGAUGAUAACACACAUAAGGUAAAACUUGUGAAGAUUUUUUUACUUGAAGUUGAUCAAAGGUUGUCCUUUUUGUGUGGCUGUGUAUUGUGGGGCAUCCCCAUUAUGAUGGAAGACUGUUUAUUUAUCAUUUCUUGCGGUUUCAUUCUACUUUCCAAUCUUGCCGUUUUGUUGAUUGUCUGGAUUUGCAACAAUAAGAUAAUAAUUUUAAAUAUUGUUUUCUUGUCCAAGCUAAAAUCAAUUAGGAACCUCUUGUGCCUAACUGGAAUUGUUGUCUUUUUAGUUGUAACAUUCUUGUGAUACCACAUAUAAAAGAAUCACGAUUAGUAACGGAUCACCUUGUUGGAUUGCAUAUUUGAUUUGUUCUAACCACCUUUUACAUGUUUCUCAAAUUCCUUGGUAUGUGGCCCACCAUUUCUUGUCAUUGUUUAUUCCUGCACAAUAGAGAAUGCAAAUAUAAAGUUUAAGAGGAUGAUAUUAUAAUAUUAUUACAGACAGUGGUAGACCUGAAUUUGUGUUUUUUUGGGGUGAUGGAUGACUACAAAGAUCAAUGGCGAUGCACCUGCUGGUCUUUGGACAGGGGAGUCUCUUGCUCCGCCGCUUAAGACCUGGGCUGGCCAACCCUGCUCGUCCCAAUGGUUGGUCCACCACAGAUUACGAUUGAGGAUAGUCGACAUGAGAUUGGGGGGCUUGUGACCGAUGCAGGAAGACAAUGCUGAAGUGCCACUUGUUGGAGGAAGUUGACAUCGAAGUGUUGUUUGCUGGAGGAAGAUGAUGUAAUAAGGGUACUCUUCUGAAAUCUAAAGGACAAUGAGUUUUUGAGAUGGUCGAACCAUUGCCUUGGGAAGGUAUUUUAGGGAUGGCUGAGUUGACCACGCUUGCUCGAUGGAAAGAGAUGUUACUUGGAUGCGGAGAGAUUUUAUAUAUGUACGUGAACAUGAGAUUUUGUUUCUGCUCAGAGAUAUUGUAUCUCUGUACAAUAUUGGUAGAGUUUGGUUAUGUUUGGAGAGAUUGUAUCUUUGCAUAGGAUUGUGAGAGUUUGGUCAUUGCGUCCUGUA